rnacentral:rRNA from 1 species
ACUUACGGCCAUACCAUCCUGAAUACGCCCAAUCUCGUCUGAUCUUGGAAGCUAAGCAGGGUCGGGCCUGGUUAGUCCUUGGAUGGGAUACCGCCUGGGAAUACCAGGCACUGUAAGUG